rnacentral:rRNA from 1 species
UACGUAGGGGGCUAGCGUUGUCCGGAUUUAUUGGGCGUAAAGAGCGUGUAGGCGGCCAGGUAGGUCUGCUGUGAAAACUCGAGGCUCAACCUCGAGACGUCGGCGGAAACCAUCUGGCUAGAGUCCGGAAGAGGAGAGUGGAAUUCCUGGUGUAGCGGUGAAAUGCGCAGAUAUCAGGAAGAACACCCGUGGCGAAGGCGGCUCUCUGGGACGGUACUGACGCUGAGACGCGAAAGCCAGGGGAGCAAACGGG